GGCUCAAUGGUCUAGUCGUAUGAUUCUUGCUUUGGGUACCACGCACUGCAAGAGGCCCGUAAGUACACAUUGCCACCAAUUCGCAUCUCCCACUUCUAACACCACGCAGCGGGUUCAAAUCCCGGUUGAGCCC